GACGAACGCUGGCGGCGUGCUUAACACAUGCAAGUCGAACGGAAAGGCCCUGCUUUUGUGGGGUGCUCGAGUGGCGAACGGGUGUGUAACACGUGAGUAACCUGCCCUUGACUUUGGGAUAACUUCAGGAAACUGGGGCUAAUACCGGAUAGGAGCUCCUGCUGCAUGGUGGGGGUUGGAAAGUUGGGGGGGUUGGAGAGGGGCUCGCGGCUUAUCAGCUUGUUGGUGGGGUAGUGGCUUACCAAGGCUUGGAGGGGUAGCCUGCCUGAGAGGGGGACCGGCCACAGUGGGAAGGAGAGACGGCCGAGACUCCUACGGGAGGCAGGAGUGGAGAAUAUUGCACAAUGGGCGGAAGCGUGAUGCAGCAACGCGGCGUGCGGAAUGACGGCCUUCGGGUUGUAAAGCGGUUUGGCCUGUGACGAAGGGUGAGUGACGGUAAUGGGUAAAGAAGCACCGGCUAACUACG
rnacentral:rRNA from 1 species